rnacentral:rRNA from 1 species
CGUAAGUUGAACGUGGCGGCAGGCCUAACACAUGCAAGUCGAGCGGAUGAAGAGAGCUUGCUCUCUGAUUCAGCGGCGGACGGGUGAGUAAUGCCUAGGAAUCUGCCUGGUAGUGGGGGACAACGUUUCGAAAGGAACGCUAAUACCGCAUACGUCCUACGGGAGAAAGCAGGGGACCUUCGGGCCUUGCGCUAUCAGAUGAGCCUAGGUCGGAUUAGCUAGUUGGUGGGGUAAUGGCUCACCAAGGCGACGAUCCGUAACUGGUCUGAGAGGAUGAUCAGUCACACUGGAACUGAGACACGGUCCAGACUCCUACGGGAGGCAGCAGUGGGGAAUAUUGGACAAUGGGCGAAAGCCUGAUCCAGCCAUGCCGCGUGUGUGAAGAAGGUCUUCGGAUUGUAAAGCACUUUAAGUUGGGAGGAAGGGUUGUAGAUUAAUACUCUGCAAUUUUGACGUUACCGACAGAAUAAGCACCGGCUAACUCUGUGCCAGCAGCCGCGGUAAUACAGAGGGUGCAAGCGUUAAUCGGAAUUACUGGGCGUAAAGCGCGCGUAGGUGGUUUGUUAAGUUGGAUGUGAAAUCCCCGGGCUCAACCUGGGAACUGCAUUCAAAACUGACAAGCUAGAGUAUGGUAGAGGGUGGGUGGAAUUUCCUGUGUAGCGGUGAAAUGCGUAGAUAUAGGAAGGAACACCAGUGGCGAAGGCGACCACCUGGACUGAUACUGACACUGAGGUGCGAAAGCGUGGGGAGCAAACAGGAUUAGAUACCCUGGUAGUCCACGCCGUAAACGAUGUCAACUAGCCGUUGGGAGCCUUGAGCUCUUAGUGGCGCAGCUAACGCAUUAAGUUGACCGCCUGGGGAGUACGGCCGCAAGGUAAAAUAGAAAAUUGUGUGGGGGGGGGGGAAAAAAA